rnacentral:ncRNA from 1 species
CCGGCUCCGGUUCACGUCCCCAGCACCUGGUGGGAGACGACCCGGCGGCC